rnacentral:rRNA from 1 species
CCUUACGGCCAUACCACCCUGAGCACGCCCGAUCUCGUCUGAUCUCGGAAGCUAAGCAGGUCGGGCCUGGUUAGUACUUGGAUGGGAGACGCCUAGGGAAUACCAGGUGCUGUAAGCU